GCGGCGAGCGAAAGCGGGAAAGAGCCAGCGCCGAAUCCCCGGGUCCCCCGCGGGCCCGCGGGAACUGUGGCGUAAGGAAAGUCCGGUCCGGCCGUCGCGGCGGCGCCGAGGUCCUUCUGAUCGAGGCCCCCUCCGUCCCGUGGCGGGUGUCAGGCCCCUGCGGGCGCCGCCCGGCGGCCGAUCAGGGCUUCCGGGAGUCGGGUUGUUUUGUAGCGCAGCCCAAAGGCGGGUGGUAAACUCCAUCCAAGGCUAAAUACCGGCACGAGACCGAUAGAGCACAAGUACAAGAAAGGGAAAG
rnacentral:rRNA from 1 species